rnacentral:misc_RNA from 1 species
UUGUUUGUUUUGUACAUAUGUGCAAAUGUACAUUGUACGAGUAUGCCCAUUAUUGCAUAUUUAUCAUUAAGAAUACAGAAUUGAAAAAUGUUUGGUGAACCGUGUUUAGUGGAACACAAUAUGACAAUUCUUUCAGAUAUAAAAACCUUUAGAGACAAUCAGAGGUUGGCCAGGACCCUUAGGGACCACCUCCAAGAGGACAGGUGUAAUCAGGAUCAAAUAAAUUUAUCAACACCUUCCAAAAUGGUGAACUUCGGUGGGGCAAUUAGGUUGAAUCCUCCGGCAAUUUUCUUAAUCUGUGGUAUAGUAGGACUAAUAGUGUUCUUUAAUAUGGGAAGAUCCACAGCUCCGCAUCCCAAUAUAUCCUUGAAACAGCUGUUAGCUGUCUCCAUUCAUGCAGCUGUCAAGGGAGGGAUAGAGGUUGUCAGGGUAAGAGAAGAAGCAGAUAUAGGAGAGAGUAGUAAAGGAAAAACAAAAGAGGGAGCUAAUGAUCCUAAAACUAAUGGAGACAUGUUCUCCCACAGGGCAAUGUACUGGGGAAUAAAGAAGGCGUUUCCACACAUAAAUGUUAUCAGUGAAGAACAUGACGUAGAGGAAGUGGAUCUCUCUACAGUAGAGAUGCCCAGCUUAGACAAUCCGGAAGUAGAAUCUAUAGUGGAUGAUGAUACAUUAGUUCCUCCUGGUGAAAUUUCUGUUUGGAUAGAUCCUUUAGACGCUACACAGGAGUACACAGAAAACCUGCGUCAUUUUGUUACAACGAUGGUGUGCGUGGCAAUCAACGGAGUUCCUGUGAUUGGUAUUAUUCAUAAACCCUUCGAGAAGUUGACCGCCUGGGGAUGGGCUGGACCUGACUACAGAUCUAAGAGUGUUAAUGAUGAUCUGAAGGCGGGUAAGGGUUUAGAACAUGAUAUUUCUAAAGCAAGAAUUAUUGUCUCCAGGUCACACGCUGGUUCCGUAAAUGCUACAGCUCAGUCGGCCUUAGGACAAGAUAUCGUUGUUACACCUGCUGGAGGAGCUGGUUAUAAAGCUUGGGAGGUUUUAAAGGGUAGCCAGGAUGCGUAUGUACACACUACACUGAUAAAGAAAUGGGAUAUAUGUGCUGGUAAUGCAAUCUUGAACUCAGCUGGGGGUCAGCUUACAACACUUAAAGGGGAGAGUAUUAAUUACAGUGGAGUAGAGGGGAAUGAGAAGAAUACUGGUGGAGUACUGGCAACCCUUUACCAUCACAAGAACUAUGUAGCCAAGCUGUCCCUACUGAUGGUUGAAACUAAGCGCAAAACUGCUGAAAAACGUGCCGCGUUUAAAACCUUAGUGAGAGAUAGACUAAGAAAACCGUGAUCAUGAAACUUCAUUUUUUUCAAAUUCUGGAAUAAAUAAGAAAUUGAUUUAAAUCAUUUCCUUCAAAACUGUUUUUUAAAUCCUUAUUCAAUCCUAGGUUUACAGAGACUCUCAAUAAACAUGUUACCAGUAUUACGUCUGACUGAAUUUUAUUCAAUUUUAAAACAAAAAGUUAAUUUUUAAUGAUAACAUAAGCUGGAGGAAUGUCAGUGAUUAUUUCAUAUUGUGAUAGUUUUUUUUUAUCCUUGUGACUAUUUAAUUGUAAAACGCCUUACUUUAUCAUAGCGAAAAAAAAUAAUCUGUAUUUUUAUAAAUAGCUUUGGUAGAUUAAUGCUCACAUUUUUGACAAUAACUUUGUAAGGAAACAGCUUAAAUUAAUCUUAACGUCUAAAGAUAUCCCUUAUUGGGGCUGCAAGUUCCGAUACUAAUUUUUUGACAAGAAAACCCAAUUCGUUUCCGUUAAAUUUUGUGAACUUUUAUUUUGUGUUUUGUAUUCAAUUCCCUAAAUCCCUAAAAAUAGGUUUAUAAUGUGAAUUAUUUAAUGAAAUGUGAACAGA